AAUUGAAGGACUAGCAAAGAGUCAAAAUACACCUACUUGCUAACUCAGCCAAUUUCAUCUCUCAUGCAAUGAUAAUUGAUGAAUUGUCAAACAGUAAGAGUAGACUCCGAAGGGUUAUGACUUGCAUAAAAUAUCCUUCACCCUGUUACAUUUUCUCUUAGGAAUGGGAGAACUGCAAUUAGUGAUCCCUCUUGCUAUGCUAGCAGAAAAUCCAACAGGCUUGUGGAGUUAUAGGUCUCUAUCUUUCUAUGCUGGCUGGGGAAGUAUCAGUUAUUGUAAACCGUAGAGUCUAAAGGCCAU
rnacentral:misc_RNA from 1 species